rnacentral:rRNA from 1 species
UAAGUUAUUAAGGGCGCACGGUGGAUGCCUUGGCACUAGAAGCCGAUGAAGGACGUUACUAACGACGAUAUGCUUUGGGGAGCUGUAAGUAAGCUUUGAUCCAGAGAUUUCCGAAUGGGGAAACCCAGCAUGAGUUAUGUCAUGUUAUCGAUAUGUGAAUACAUAGCAUAUCAGAAGGCACACCCGGAGAACUGAAACAUCUUAGUACCCGGAGGAAGAGAAAGAAAAUUCGAUUCCCUUAGUAGCGGCGAGCGAAACGGGAAGAGCCCAAACCAAAAAGCUUGCUUGUUGGGGUUGUAGGACACUCUAUACGGAGUUACAAAGGACGACAUUAGACGAAUCAUCUGGAAAGAUGAAUCAAAGAAGGUAAUAAUCCUGUAGUCGAAAAUGUUGUCUCUCUUGAGUGGAUCCUGAGUACGACGGAGCACGUGAAAUUCCGUCGGAAUCUGGGAGGACCAUCUCCUAAGGCUAAAUACUCUCUAGUGACCGAUAGUGAACCAGUACCGUGAGGGAAAGGUGAAAAGCACCCCGGAAGGGGAGUGAAAUAGAACCUGAAACCGUGUGCUUACAAGUAGUCAGAGCCCGUUAAUGGGUGAUGGCGUGCCUUUUGUAGAAUGAACCGGCGAGUUACGAUUUGAUGCAAGGUUAAGCAGUAAAUGUGGAGCCGUAGCGAAAGCGAGUCUGAAUAGGGCGUUUAGUAUUUGGUCGUAGAUCCGAAACCAGGUGAUCUACCCUUGGUCAGGUUGAAGUUCAGGUAACACUGAAUGGAGGACCGAACCGACUUACGUUGAAAAGUGAGCGGAUGAACUGAGGGUAGCGGAGAAAUUCCAAUCGAACCUGGAGAUAGCUGGUUCUCUCCGAAAUAGCUUUAGGGCUAGCCUCAAGUGAUGAUUAUUGGAGGUAGAGCACUGUUUGGACGAGGGGCCCCUCUCGGGUUACCGAAUUCAGACAAACUCCGAAUGCCAAUUAAUUUAACUUGGGAGUCAGAACAUGGGUGAUAAGGUCCGUGUUCGAAAGGGAAACAGCCCAGACCACCAGCUAAGGUCCCAAAAUAUAUGUUAAGUGGAAAAGGAUGUGGCGUUGCCCAGACAACUAGGAUGUUGGCUUAGAAGCAGCCAUCAUUUAAAGAGUGCGUAAUAGCUCACUAGUCGAGUGACACUGCGCCGAAAAUGUACCGGGGCUAAACAUAUUACCGAAGCUGUGGAUUGUCCUUUGGACAAUGGUAGGAGAGCGUUCUAAGGGCGUUGAAGCAUGAUCGUAAGGACAUGUGGAGCGCUUAGAAGUGAGAAUGCCGGUGUGAGUAGCGAAAGACGGGUGAGAAUCCCGUCCACCGAUUGACUAAGGUUUCCAGAGGAAGGCUCGUCCGCUCUGGGUUAGUCGGGUCCUAAGCUGAGGCCGACAGGCGUAGGCGAUGGAUAACAGGUUGAUAUUCCUGUACCACCUAUAAUCGUUUUAAUCGAUGGGGGGACGCAGUAGGAUAGGCGAAGCGUGCGAUUGGAUUGCACGUCUAAGCAGUAAGGCUGAGUAUUAGGCAAAUCCGGUACUCGUUAAGGCUGAGCUGUGAUGGGGAGAAGACAUUGAGUCUUCGAGUCGUUGAUUUCACACUGCCGAGAAAAGCCUCUAGAUAGAAAAUAGGUGCCCGUACCGCAAACCGACACAGGUAGUCAAGAUGAGAAUUCUAAGGUGAGCGAGCGAACUCUCGUUAAGGAACUCGGCAAAAUGACCCCGUAACUUCGGGAGAAGGGGUGCUCUUUAGGGUUAACGCCCAGAAGAGCCGCAGUGAAUAGGCCCAAGCGACUGUUUAUCAAAAACACAGGUCUCUGCUAAACCGUAAGGUGAUGUAUAGGGGCUGACGCCUGCCCGGUGCUGGAAGGUUAAGAGGAGUGGUUAGCUUCUGCGAAGCUACGAAUCGAAGCCCCAGUAAACGGCGGCCGUAACUAUAACGGUCCUAAGGUAGCGAAAUUCCUUGUCGGGUAAGUUCCGACCCGCACGAAAGGCGUAACGAUUUGGGCACUGUCUCAACGAGAGACUCGGUGAAAUCAUAGUACCUGUGAAGAUGCAGGUUACCCGCGACAGGACGGAAAGACCCCGUGGAGCUUUACUGUAGCCUGAUAUUGAAAUUCGGCACAGCUUGUACAGGAUAGGUAGGAGCCUUUGAAACGUGAGCGCUAGCUUACGUGGAGGCGCUGGUGGGAUACUACCCUAGCUGUGUUGGCUUUCUAACCCGCACCACUUAUCGUGGUGGGAGACAGUGUCAAGCGGGCAGUUUGACUGGGGCGGUCGCCUCCUAAAAGGUAACGGAGGCGCUCAAAGGUUCCCUCAGAAUGGUUGGAAAUCAUUCAUAGAGUGUAAAGGCAUAAGGGAGCUUGACUGCGAGACCUACAAGUCGAGCAGGGUCGAAAGACGGACUUAGUGAUCCGGUGGUUCCGCAUGGAAGGGCCAUCGCUCAACGGAUAAAAGCUACCCCGGGGAUAACAGGCUUAUCUCCCCCAAGAGUUCACAUCGACGGGGAGGUUUGGCACCUCGAUGUCGGCUCAUCGCAUCCUGGGGCUGUAGUCGGUCCCAAGGGUUGGGCUGUUCGCCCAUUAAAGCGGUACGCGAGCUGGGUUCAGAACGUCGUGAGACAGUUCGGUCCCUAUCCGUCGUGGGCGUAGGAAAUUUGAGAGGAGCUGUCCUUAGUACGAGAGGACCGGGAUGGACAUACCUCUGGUGUACCAGUUGUCGUGCCAACGGCAUAGCUGGGUAGCUAUGUGUGGACGGGAUAAGUGCUGAAAGCAUCUAAGCAUGAAGCCCCCCUCAAGAUGAGAUUUCCCAACUUCGGUUAUAAGAUCCCUCAAAGAUGAUGAGGUUAAUAGGUUCGAGGUGGAAGCAUGGUGACAUGUGGAGCUGACGAAUACUAAUCGAUCGAAGACUUAAUCA